AAGGCCAGUGCUUGCACUGGUGCUCGAGUGGCGAACGGGUGAGUAACACGUGGGUGAUCUGCCCUGCACUUUGGGAUAAGCCUGGGAAACUGGGUCUAAUACCAGAUAGGACCAUGCUUUGGAUGGUGUGGUGGAAAGUUUUUUCGGUGUGGGAUGAGCUUGCGGCCUAUCAGCUUGUUGGUGGGGUAAUGGCCUACCAAGGCGUCGACGGGUAGCCGGCCUGAGAGGGUGUACGGCCACAUUGGGACUGAGAUACGGCCCAGACUCCUACGGGAGGCAGCAGUGGGGAAUAUUGCACAAUGGGCGCAAGCCUGAUGCAGCGACGCCGCGUGGGGGAUGACGGCCUUCGGGUUGUAAACUCCUUUCGCAACUGACGAAGCU
rnacentral:rRNA from 1 species